CCGCCACCGUUCUUUCCAGAGCAGACCUGGUCAGUCAGUUGCAACACCUUGUCUCAGCCCGGAUUUGAACCCCGGACUGCAAAAUCUGAAUCCCCCUGCUGUCGCCUGGCCACCCCUUUCAGAAGAAUUUUGGAUUUAGUUUUCCUAUGUGAAAGAAGCUUCGAGGAUAUCAGAACGUUCAACUGCUGAUGAGUCAUAAAACCAUCUUUGAAAACAUAUACUGAAAUGCUCUCCAAAUGUUAAUUUUGGAUUCAGGACCAGGAAUCGGGCUCGUAUUUUUAGGAGACCUUUACAAAUUUCAGAAAUUUCCUCUAGCUGCGACAUGAAGAUCAUUCUAGCUCGUCUGAGCUUUGUUUCCCGGCCAGCUCCCCGCACAGUUACAUCACGGCGGUUCUACUCACCACAAGGGAAUGUUUCCGAACGAGAUUCCUGAGAUUCAUUCUGAUUGGAGAUAUUCAGGCCACAUCCUCACCCUCGAAGCUAAGGGUGAAUUCUCUUCUGGUGAAACAUACGGAAUCUAUCAAGGAGAGGUCAACAGGUACCCAGAAUGAAAUUCUCAAGUUCCAAUGUCUCUGCUUUCAAAUUCGGCCACAGUUUUGUCUCGCCCCUUACUCCUCAACUUUAUUUCCUACUAAGAUCUUUCUAGGAGACAGGCUAGUCUCACCCCCAAGGAAUAGAAUGUUUAAACCUGGUUUUGUACUUCGUGGUGAUCUCGAUAUGUGGACGAUCUUUUCCUUUUUAAUUUCUCCCCAAGCCCCAAUUCAAAACCUACACUCUGUUUUUCUUCUUGCCAUGAACAAUGACAGUUCAAUUCAAUUAAACAUUUGUGCACUAAGUA